UGCUUCCAUUGAUCUGUAAUUAUUAAACAUAAUUAAAAUCAUUUCAAAUCCUUUUAAAUAAUUUAGCCAAUUAAAAUACGUUGACUUUUAUUCAGAACUAUUUUAUUUUAUUUAUUUAUUUAUUUAAAAAAUUUUUUUUAACGUUUUAUUUAUUUUUGAGACAGAGAGAGACAGAGCAUGAACGGGGGAGGGGCAGAGAGAGAGAGGGAGACACAGAAUCGGAAGCAGGCACCAGGCUCUGAGCCAUCAGCCCAGAGCCCAACACGGGGCUCCAACUCAUGGACCGCGAGAUCGUGACCUGAGCUGAAGUCGGACGUUUAACCGACUGAGCCACCCAGGCGCCCCUCAGAACUAUUUUAAAUUGAACCAGACUCUUUUUUUAUUAAAUUCAAAUGAACAUGGCUGUACUUAUAGAUCUCUGUUUAAAUCAGUGUGGAUUCAGUGACAGAAUAUAUGAGCAGUAGAAAAUAGAAAGGAAUUCUAGAGGAAAAAAAAAAAUCUUCCUUUAUAAUUAAUUUAGAGCUUGCCUAACUGAUAUUGCAGGUAGAAUGCUUGCAUGAGGAAUAACCCAGAUCUGAUUAUCAAUCUGAUUACAGUGGCGACCCAAUGUACUUCUGUGGACCUUUCUUCCUCAUUGUAGUGAGCCAAUAGAAGUUUGUCAUUUAAUAUGGCAGACCAUUUGUCAACAUCAUAACUCAGAUUAAUCUUAAGCUGAUUUUGAAGAGGUAAAACCAAAAAUUCUUCUUCUAACUUAUAUGUUGGGUAAUCAUUUAUGUAAGACGUCUCAUAAUUCAGAUUGGGAGAGGAAACCCAAGCUAGGAAUGGAAAUAGUUUCUUUCCCUGUGAUGAGUUCCAGAAACAUGGUAGUCACGCAGCUCAUUUAUGUGGCCAUGCAGUCCUAAUGUGGUACAACUGAGAACCCUAAGAUGGGAAUCACAAGACCUGUACCAUGUCAGUGCAAUGCAUGCACACUGCCAAAUACUGUCCUUUCCAAAGGUACUGUUGACUUUCUGGGAUGAAGAACAUCAAUAACCAUCU
rnacentral:lncRNA from 1 species